UAAUGCAUCGAAACCUCGAACGCUCUGAAUUAAUAUGCCUAGUAUUGCCAGAAGUGUAAGACAGUAGACGUUCCUCGCGAAAAUUCAUGUUUUUCGAAUAAAAAAAUAAUUUGAUAUUUCAAUUUAAAUACUUUCUUGUCGUACUAUAUAAUAUACCGUUUCAAAGUUUUAACAUAUUUUAUUAAAUCCAUACAAACGUUUUGCUAUUUUGAAUAUUAUAUACAAGGUACGUUAAAUGUUGAUGCAUG